CAGUAGCCGCGGGAAUACGUAGGUGGCAAGCGUUGUCCGGAAUUAUUGGGCGUAAAGGGCUCGCAGGCGGUUUCUUAAGUCUGAUGUGAAAGCCCCCGGCUCAACCGGGGAGGGUCAUUGGAAACUGGGAAACUUGAGUGCAGAAGAGGAGAGUGGAGUUCCACGUGUAGCGGUGAAAUGCGUAGAGAUGUGGAGGAACACCAGUGGCGAGGGCGACUCUCUGGUCUGUAACUGACGCUGAGGAGCGAAAGCGUGGGGAGCGAACAGGAUUAGAUACCCCGGUAGUCCCUGUCUCUUAUAA
rnacentral:rRNA from 1 species